rnacentral:lncRNA from 1 species
CUUAGUCCCCACCCCCCCAAAAAAAAUAGCACCAUGAGUGACUCUUAAGAGUUGUUUUUAAGUGAGGAUAAUAAUGAGGCUACCCCUGGGUCGAGCAAUUUGAACAGUCAAGAGUUAUUGACCGAGUUUUGUCCCAACUCAAGAACUUCAAAUAAAGCUGAGCCAAAUAUUCCAAAUCCAUGGCCCUAUGUUAAAGACUACUUUAUUUUAAGCAGGCACCAUUCUUCGAACAUGGAAGCCUUGGAGAAAACUUCUCAUAGUGAGAAGAGAAAGAAUAUAAGUGAUGUGGACAAGGAAACCCUACCUUCCGUUCUGUCUUUUAUGUCCUGACCAGACAAGACUCAUUCGGUAACAUAAAUGAGUGUAGAUAAUGCCAUUACUAGGUUUGUAGUAGAGACUGGGUAGGCCUUCCAUCUCGUUACAAGAUCGUGGAAAAAAUAUCGAUGAAGUUUAAAGGCAUGAAGACAAAGAUUUGCACUGAACUAGAAGUGGCAGAUUAUGUAUCCACCAUUGCAGAUAUGUGGUCCAAUGGUCACAAAUCUUUCAUCAGUGUUACAGCUCAUACUAUCUCGCAGAAGCUGGGAUGGCGAAACUUUACCAACGCUUGUAGAAGGAUGGAGGGGAGUCAUACUUUCGAUAAGGUGGUCAAAGUUCUAAAAUGUAUACUUUAAGACUGGGGAAUACAAUAGAAGACGGUGGGCAUGGUGACGGAUAAUGCCAAUAAUUCUGCCAAAGUAUUCAAUGUCUAUGGCAGGCAAUCCCAGGCCAUCGAUGAGACAUCUGUCGAAGUUUUCAAUCAGAGCAUGAAGAAGAGGAAGAAGAUAAAAAUAUUAAUCUCGGAGAUAUACUCGAGUCAGGAGAUGAGGAGCUGCUGUCUAGAAGUGCUUUGGGGAUCCCCACAGAAAUGCUGGAUUUUCAUUACUUAUAAAUCAAUUUAACGUCCUUUAUGUAUA